ACAUAUAAUACAAUUAAAUUAUAAUAAUGAAAUUUCUAAUUAUACUAUUUUUAUUUAUCAUUUCUUAUGUAUCAGUUAAUUGCGAUUUAAAUGAUUGUCUUGAAAUGUGCGAAGUUGGUGCCCAGGACUUGCACCAACAGUGGUUUUGUAAACGAGAAUGUUAUAGAGUUGCUACUUGUGGAGGAUAUAAGCGUGAAACUGUAGAUGAAUGUAUUGCAGCUUGCCGCAGAAGUAAGAU